UAAUUCCCCUUUUCUCUUUUAUUUUGCCUUUUUUCAGUUUCUUAAUUAUUAUGUACUAGCUUAGUUUAUUGUUUGUAUGAUUUUGCAUGUUAUCGUGUUAGUUCAGUUUGUGUUUCUUGUGAUUAAAGCAUGUUUAUGUGCUAGUAUGAUUAGAUAAGAAUGCCUGUGUCUUAAUUUUGUUUAGUAGUUAAACAUGAUUUAGUAUGUUAGGUUAAUUUAGUAUUGUAUAUCUUAUGUGUUAUAGCCUAUCAUGUCAAGCAUGAUUAGUCGUUACUCUAGCCUAUUAGUUUAAAUAUGUCCUAAAGCAUUGUGUAAUUUGUCCAUGUUAAACAUGUGUCUUGUGUUAGUUGAAUGAUCUAUAGUAGAGUUCAGAUAUGUUGAUUUUGAAUCUGAUUUACAAAGUAUGAAUCAUGUUAUUUCGGUUAGAAGUUUAGUGAAACAUGAAGGCUCUUCUGAGAUAUGUUUUAAACACUUUAGAUUGCAACCCUUUUUUUAGUUGAAACAUGCAGCUUAAGAAUUGAAAGCUAAAAUCUGUUUCCCCACCAUCAGUAUGCUUCAAAAGGAUUUCAUAAAAUGUUGUGUUGUAAUCUCCCCUCCCUUUAGUUAUUGAUGUUUAUUUCUUGUUACUGGUGUGUGUGUGUUUUUUGUGAGGAUUAGAUCUAAAGCUAUCUUUGUUGUUUCUUCCUUUUGGUUUCCAGUCCCUUAUUUAAGUCGACAUACGUCAAAAUUGAAUAAGAAAGUAGGUCAUGUCCAUUUUUAAGUGUGAAAAUGCCUUCCAAAAUGAGUAGUGAUCUGAUUAGCUGAAUCAUUUAUGUAAGCAGCUGAAUACUAGCUUUUCUGGUACAGUUUAAGCUGCUGGUACAGUUUAAACUGCUGCUGGUGUCUCUGAACUGUGUUUUUAAAAACAAAAGAAUAGUGAAAGAAUAAAGGGUUCAGAUCUGUAUGAGUGCUGUGAUGAUCCUGUGCUUGUUUAAAUUCUUAUAUGUUGGUGCAUUGCAAGUAUAUUGUGUUUGAUUAUGCGUAUAUAUGUAUAUAACCAGUAUGCUUUAGCUAAUACAUUUAUGGGGAGAUUAGUUGGUCAUUAUGGAUUAAGCUUGAACCCUCCCCGAUGUUAGCCAUGCCUGGGAUUCCUGGAAAUUCCUUGGAACUUGUGCAACAUCGGGAAGACGGGGGCAAAAGCUUUCCAAUAUUAACCUUCUGAGUAUCCUCACGAAUGUGUAUACACGAAAUAUACAUAAUGUAUACAUAAGUCACUUGUUGGUUUUGAAUAUUGAAAUUGUUCUAUUGUGUUGGUUGCCGAUGACAAAAUCUUGCAUAUUGUAGAAUCAUGUCAUCGCUCUAAUUCUUUUCUUUUCUUUUUCUUCUUUUGCAUGACAUCCGGAGUUGCGAGGAGUCUCAAACGAGACUCGAUAUCUUUAUUGAAUCAAGGAAAUUUGCAUUUCAUCCCGUCAAGCAUAUCCCGCCUUUCUGCUAUACAUUUGAGUAAAAGAAAGAGGGGCGAGAUGACGCUUCUAUCCCUCAUUAGUCAUUGCCCUCGUUCUCUCCUAUCCGAAUAUUGAAAUGAGAGCGAGGGGGGGUUAUUCCUAUUUUGAAACUUUCUUUCUCUUCUUUCUGCUGCGUUGGAUACUUGUUGAUUUUUUUUUGGCUUGAUUUUUUUUUUUGCUUUCAUUAUCUUGAUAGAAGAAUAGGAAUCAGUGCUAGUAUUAACUUAGAAAGGGUAAUUGAUAUAAAAGGGAAAUUGAUAGGAUAGGUGUACAUUUGACCCCUUUUUCCGUAUUUACCAAAUUUUAUGCAUUAUUGUCUUUAAAAGCUAAUCCUCAUUUAAUUAUAAUAGAUAUUUUAUUUUCUUUAAACUCUUUUAGUAACACAUUUUUAAACCCUUUUCUUUGAUUAGCCUAAGUUUGACCGGUAAACCGUAGUUAACGGAUUCUAAAGGAUGCCUAACCCCUUCCCUUUAGGAUAAUCUAGAACCCUUACCUAGAAUCACGCUAAUUAAGCAGACCAUUAACGGAGGUUUAGUUAGGCUUUACCUUAGUUAAUAAAUUAGGUGUCCUAAUUCACCGUUAAACUAAUUAGGUGGCGACUCCUUAAAAUAAAAUAAAUAGGGAUCACCAAUAUGUUGUACUCUACUUUAACCCGGUUUAAAUGGGGUAUAACAGGUAUCCCGUAAAAUUAGUCAAGGUGGGUGGAAGUUGGCGUCGACACCAUGGUUAUGAAUAUAUACAUAUAUCAACAUACAUACAAGGAUGGAGCCAUUUAUAUAUUGCUGCUUCCAUGUACUAGAUACCACCUGUGUUUGAUGCCUCGAUAGUGUCUGUAAGAAAGCAGUUGAGAACCCAUUUAACUUGUGAGUUUGGGGACUAUUCUUUCAAGUCUCCCAUGCAUUGUGCGACAAAAUGGCAUAGUACAGUCAAAACUCUCUAUAACAUCAUUUGUUCCAAUAUUUUUUUUUGGUUGCUACAGCGAAAUGCUGUUAUAGAAAACAUAUAAUAUAACAUAACAUGAAAGAUCGGUUCCACAGAAAACAUGGUUGUUAUAGUGAAUGUUAUUAUAGAGUGGUCUGACUGUAUCUAUGGAAAUAUAGGGGAUUUGCUAGUUUAUUGGCCACUAUUGAGUCUGUUUCUGAUCAUUCAGCAUCUUUUCUUUCUCGUGGAGGAGCUGGAUGGUAGCAUUGCAGGAUUUGCCUUUUUACUGCUUAACAAAUGUAAUGUUUUUUCGAGCAGACUUUUGAAGAAGCUGAUACUAAACAUGACAGAAAGAUUGAUAAGGAAGAGUGGAGAAAUUUGGUCCAGCGACAUCCUUCACUUCUGAAGCAUAUGACCCUUCAGUAACUUAAGGACAUAACGACUACAUUCCCAAGUUUUGUCUUUCACUCGAGAGUUCCGGAUACCUGAUAUGGAUUGCCAAAGCUGAAUUGCCUACAGAAUAGUCUUAUACUUGAGAGUUGCAUUUCGACUAUGAAACUAAGUAUUAUUUUUGCUCAACUUUUUUAGGUUCAACAUUUUCAUGAUUUGUUAUUCUUUUUUAGAGCAGUGGGGUUGUGUAUUGUUGUUACCACUGCAGAAAUGCUAAGUUCCCUUGUUGAUGUUGUGCAUCAUUGUAAUUUAAUUUGCUUAUUGUAGCUCAUUAUUUGGAAAUCUUUUGCCUGAGAUGAGUUUAAAUGGAGAAAUAUGGUUAGUGAGGAUUAUUCA